CCUGACAUCACAAACAUAAGGCAACUAAAUGUUUGAACUACUCUCUUCUGCAACCAAGGAAGUAACCUUUUUCAUCUGAUUCUUAGAAUUCAGGGUCUAGUGAAGCAGGAAGGAUGUGGAGCAAUAAGCAGUGCUGCUGAGAGGCACCAAACGAGGGGUUCAGUGGAGACAGGUCCACACAAACCAGCAGGAAAACAUGCAGCAAAUUAGGCGAUGCUGGUGCCUAGUUCUCCUGCAGAACUUUCCCAUGCCGUCUGAAGAAGAGAGGUAGAAAGAUCGAAAGAGGCGGCGAAAACAGCUCUGCAGGAUCAGGUACUGUGUAGGCUAUUAGCUAAAGUAAGGCGCAUUUUUGUACACACAUCCCUAGAGGUUCCCUUACAUUACUUAAUGACAACAAUCUGUUUUCUUUCUAGACGAUACUGAAAACAAAAUGCACGGCGAGCUGUGAACUGGGUAUAUAGUCUGUGUGUAAUGCUGAAGGCUUGAUGCAUGGAAAGAUAUAAUAGUUGUGAUGACUUGUUGAGUAGUUAUAUAUAUCA